CCUACGGGAGGCUGCAGUGAGGAAUAUUGGUCAAUGGACGAGAGUCUGAACCCUCCCCUUCUCUUUCCUGAUGCCUGCCCUCUGGGUUGUAAACUUCUUUUAUAUGGGAAUAAAAUGUUCCACGUGUGGGAUUUUGUAUGUACCAUAUGAAUAAGGAUCGGCUAACUCCGUGCCAGCAGCCGCGGUAAUACGGAGGAUCCGAGCGUUAUCCGGAUUUAUUGGGUUUAAAGGGAGCGUAGGUGGAUUGUUAAGUCAGUUGUGAAAGUUUGCGGCUCAACCGUAAAAUUGCAGUUGAAACUGGCAGUCUUGAGUACAGUAGAGGUGGGCGGAAUGCGUGGUGUAGCGGUGAAAUGCUUAGAUAUCACGAAGAACUCCGAUUGCGAAGGCAGCUCACUGGACUGCAACUGACACUGAGGCUCGAAAGUGUGGGUAUCAAACAGGAUUAGAUACCCGGGUAGUC
rnacentral:rRNA from 1 species